AGAGAGAGACAUGCGCGCAUAUCAAUAAGCGGAGGAAAAGAAACUAACAAGGAUUCCCCUAGUAACGGCGAGUGAAGCGGGAAGAGCUCAAAUUUGAAAUCUUAAAGGGUUUCCCUUUACGAAUUGUAGUUUAAAGAAGUGUUUUCUGUUGAGGUUUUGGUAAAAGUUCUUUGGAAUAGGACAUCAUAGAGGGUGAGAAUCCCGUAUUUGACCUUUACUUUCAACUUUGUGAUACACUUUCAAAGAGUCGGAUUGUUUGGGAAUGCAGUCCAAAAUGGGUGGUAAAUUUCAUCUAAAGCUAAAUAUUGGCGAGAGACCGAUAGCGAACAAGUACCGUGAGGGAAAGAUGAAAAGAACUUUGAAAAGAGAGUUAAACAGUACGUGAAAUUGUCAAAAGGGAAGCGUUUGACACCAGUGUUGUUUUUCUGAAAAUCAAUUAAAGAACUGUUUAUGCUAAGUUGUUUAGACUUUAUCAGCUAACUGUUUAGUUUUGAGCUUUUCUUUAAUGCACUUUUCAGUUAACAAGUCAGCAUCAAUUUCUUUUGCUGUAAAAAAGCUUGAGGAAGGUGGCUUGAGAUUCGUCUUAAGUGUUUAUAGCCUCUUGCCUAUGCAGUCGGAGAGAUUGAGGUCUGCAGCGUAGAUCCUUCGGGGCUAAAUGCAUUUGUGCUAAGUUAUAGCAUUUUAUAGACAACUUGUUGACUAUGAUUUGUCUUGUAGCUUACUCGCUUAUGUUAUUUUACCUACGCUUAGGAUGUUGACGCAUGAGAUAUACGC
rnacentral:rRNA from 1 species